rnacentral:rRNA from 1 species
ACGUAGGGGGCGAGCGUUGUCCGGAAUCACUGGGCGUAAAGCGCACGUAGGCGGGCUGUAAAGUCGGCAGUGAAAGGCGCGGGCUCAACCUGUGCAUGUCGGUCGAUACUGGAGGUCUAGAGUAUGGGAGAGGGAUCAGGAAUUCCCGGUGUACCGGUGAAAUGCGUAGAUAUCGGGAGGAACUCCAGUGGCGAAGGCUGCUUCCUGGCCCAUGACUGACGCUCAUGUGUGAAAGCCAGGGUAGCGAACGG